rnacentral:rRNA from 1 species
GACGAACGCUGGCGGCGUGCUUAACACAUGCAAGUCGAACGGAAAGGCCCUGCUUUUGUGGGGUGCUCGAGUGGCGAACGGGUGAGUAACACGUGAGUAACCUGCCCUUGACUUUGGGAUAACUUCAGGAAACUGGGGCUGAUACCGGAUAGGAGCUCCUGCCGCAUGGUGGGGGUUGGAAAGUUUCGGCGGUUGGGGAUGGACUCGCGGCUUAUCAGCUUGUUGGUGGGGUAGUGGCUUACCAAGGCUUUGACGGGUAGCCGGCCUGAGAGGGUGACCGGCCACAUUGGGACUGAGAUACGGCCCAGACUCCUACGGGAGGCAGCAGUGGGGAAUAUUGCACAAUGGGCGGAAGCCUGAUGCAGCAACGCCGCGUGCGGGAUGACGGCCUUCGGGUUGUAAACCGCUUUCGCCUGUGACGAAGCGUGAGUGACGGUAAUGGGUAAAGAAGCACCGGCUAACUACGUG